rnacentral:rRNA from 1 species
UACGUAGGGGUCGAGCGUUGUCCGGAGUUACUGGGCGUAAAGCGUGCGCAGGUGGCUCAUUGCGCCCGGCGUGAAAGCCCCCGGCUCAACCGGGGAGGGUCGUCGGGGACGGGUGAGCUUGAGGGUAUCAGGGGCUGGUGGAACUCCCGGUGUAGUGGUGAAAUGCGUAGAGAUCGGGAGGAACAUCAGUGGCGAAGGCGGCCAUCUGGGACAACACUGACGCUGAGGCACGAAAGCGUGGGGAGCAAACAGG